rnacentral:rRNA from 1 species
GGUCAAGCUACAAAGAGCUAACGGCGGAUCCCUAGGCACACAGAGGCGAAGAAGGACGUAGCAACCGACGAAACGCUCCGGGGAGCAGGAAGCAUGCACUGAGCCGGAGGUCUCCGAAUGGGGCAACCCCUAGUACGGUCUGCUGAAUCCAUAGGCAGACGCGAGCGAACUCGGCGAACUGAAACAUCUUAGUAGCCGAAGGAAGAGAAAGCAAAAGCGAUUCCCCCAGUAGCGGCGAGCGAAAAGGGAACAGCCUAAACCUUGUUCUUACGAGAACAGGGGGUCGUGGGACGACCACCAGAGACUUGGAAAGUUAGACGAAGUUGUUGAAAGCAACACCAGAGGAGGUAAAAGUCCUGUAGUCGAAAACCCAACAAGCUCGGUCGUAUCCCGAGUAGCUCGGGUCUCGUGAAACCCCGAGUGAAUCAGCCAGGACCACCUGGUAAGGCUAAAUACUCCUGUGUGACCGAUAGCGAACCAGUACCGCGAGGGAAAAGUGAAAAGAACCCCAGUAAGGGGAGUGAAAAAGAACGUGAAACCGUUAGCUUACAAGCAGUGGGAGGACGAUUAAACGUCUGACCGCGUGCCUGUUGAAGAAUGAGCCGGCGACUAACAGGCUGCGGCAGGUUAAAGCACAAAAAGCUGAAGCCCAAGCGAAAGCGAGUCCGAAAAGGGCGUAUAAGUCACAGUUUGUUGACCCGAACCCGGGCGAUCUAACCAUGUCCAGGAUGAAGCUUGGGUAAAACCAAGUGGAGGUCCGAACCGACUAAUGUUGAAAAAUUAGCGGAUGAGGUGUGGUUAGGGGUGAAAUGCCAAUCGAGCCCGGAGCUAGCUGGUUCUCCCCGAAAUGUGUUUAGGCGCAGCGGUAAGUUGAACAACUGUGGGGGUAAAGCACUGUUUCGCUGCGGGCUGCGAGAGCGGUACCAAAGCGAGGCAAACUCAGAAUACCACAGUUGAACUUGCCAGUGAGACGGUGGGGGAUAAGCUUCAUCGUCAAGAGGGAAACAGCCCAGACCACCAGCUAAGGUCCCGAAAUAAUGACUAAGUGAUUAAGGAGGUGGGAGUGCCGAGACAACCAGGAGGUUUGCCUAGAAGCAGCCAUCCUUAAAAGAGUGCGUAAUAGCUCACUGGUCAAGCGCUCCUGCGCCGAAAAUGAACGGGGCUAAGUCAUUUACCGAAGCUGUGGACUCAGAAAUUGAGUGGUAGGGGAGCGUUCUGUUUGGGGUGAAGCACUAGCGGCAAGCAGGUGUGGACUGAACAGAAGUGAGAAUGUCGGCUUGAGUAGCGAAAAUAGGUGUGAGAAUCACCUACCCCGAAACCCUAAGGUUUCCUCCGGAAGGCUCGUCCGCGGAGGGUUAGUCAGGACCUAAGGCGAGGCCGAAAGGCGUAGUCGAUGGACAACGGGUUAAUAUUCCCGUACCGUUGAUUGUUGGUCAAGGGGGACGGAGAAGGUCAAGGGAGCCGGAGAAUGGUAGUUCCGGUGUAAGCGUUCGAGGUGUUGAGAGCUGGAGAAAACAGCUUGAGCUGAGGCGUGAGUCCGACCCGCUACGGCGGGGAAGUCCUGUAGAUCCUGCUUCCCAGAAAAGCCCUGAUGGCCAUAAACAAUCAAUGCCUGUACCCGAAACCGACACAGGUAGGGUGGUAGAGUAUACCGAGGGGCGCGAGAUAACUCUCUCUAAGGAACUCGGCAAAAUUACCCCGUAACUUUGGAAGAAGGGGUGCCACCGAGAGGUGGUCGCAGUGAAGAGGCCCAGGCGACUGUUUACCAAAAACAUAGGUCUCCGCCAAGUCGCAAGACGCAGUAUGGGGGCUGACGCCUGCCCAGUGCCGGAAGGUUAAAGAAGUUGGUUAGGAGUAAUCCGAAGCUGACGACUGAAGCCCCGGUGAACGGCGGCCGUAACUAUAACGGUCCUAAGGUAGCGAAAUUCCUUGUCGGGUAAGUUCCGACCCGCACGAAAGGCGUAACGAUCUGGGCGCUGUCUCAGAGAGAGGCUCGGCGAAAUAGGAUUGUCUGUGAAGAUACGGACUCCCUGCACCCGGACAGAAAGACCCUAUGAAGCUUUACUGUAGCCUGGAAUUGGGUUCGGGCUUUGCUUGCGCAGGAUAGGUGGGAGGCGUUGAAGUAUUCCUCGUGGGGGGUACGGAGCCAUCGGUGAGAUACCACUCUGGCGAAGCUAGAAUUCUAACUCUAACCCGUCAACCGGGGAGAGGACAGUUUCAGGUGGGCAGUUUGACUGGGGCGGUCGCCUCCUAAAAGGUAACGGAGGCGCACAAAGGUUCCCUCAGGCUGGUUGGAAAUCAGCCGUAGAGUGUAAAGGCACAAGGGAGCUUGACUGCGAGACUGACAAGUCGAGCAGGUAGGAAACUAGGUCUUAGUGAUCCGACGGCACUGAGUGGAAGGGCCGUCGCUCAACGGAUAAAAGUUACUCUAGGGAUAACAGGCUGAA